CCCGCUGGUGCUUGUGCCGGCCACAUGCCGGCUGAUCCAGUGGUAGAGGCCGUGGAAGAAGUUGUGGCUCUGAUUGAGCAGCACAUGAAGUGGAAGAAAGCAGCCGAGGAGUUGGAUGCUCCCCCGGUAGCCUCCAACAAGUUCAUACAACUAAGUUGGUCAGGUAAUGAACAAAUGAAUAAGCCAACAACUUGGUUAAGAAAAAGAGCCAUCUGUCUCUGCCGGCUAGAGGAAAGCGAUGCCCCAACGCCCCACCCACCACCAGCACUCAGUCACCCACCCCCCACCGCUACUACUGGACUGGAGCACCACCGGCGAACGACGUCGUGCCGCCCAGGAGGCUGAGAUCGGCCACCGGCAGACAACCUCCCUCCCGUCCCGCGCUGCGUCUCCAUCCCUGGUGGACGCGGCUGCGCUCGCGCGGUCCUUGUCUUCGGGGCGAGCGGCGGCGGAGUGGAAGGAGGUUCCUCUCCCGUCCCCGAGGCCGGCCGCCCCGAGCGGCAACCAUUGAUUGCAGUUGCAGGACCUGUGGAGCCCAAGAGCAAAGCAAGCUAGGUGUGGACCGAUCGACUGUACACCAGCCUGGUGGGCAACUUGAUCCAAUCUCUUCUUGCCCCUCUCUUCAUUUCUACCUGCAGUUCUUACGGUUCUUUCAGAAAUGGAUGUUGAUCAAGAACGUGAACUGGAAGCCCUGGAGGGCAUACUGAGUGAUCCAAGUGCAAAGCCCAUCAGGCUAUCUUAUGGAGUUUUGAAAUUUAUUACGAAUAAUUUUUCUAAAGAAAUUGGUAGUGGUGGGUUUGGAGUGGUGUACCAGGGAGAUUUACAAAAUGGGUUUGUCGCUGUGAAGAUGUCAAAUGUCUAUAAUAUCACUGAUAAGCAAUUCAUGGAUGAGAUCAAGUGUUUAAAAAGUGCAAAUCACAAAAACAUAGUAAGAUUUCUGGGCUAUUGUGCGGAUACACAAGAAGAAAUUAUGCCAUUGGAUGGAACAUUUGUGAUGGCAGGGCGACGGAAUAGGUUGCUCUGCUUUGAAUAUGUUCCUAAUGGAAAUGUCCGGCAGUAUCUUGAAAAAGGUACUAAGAGCUUACAAACUCAUUUCCCUAUUUGCAUUCAGUAUAAAAAUUAAGUAUCAGUUCAAAUUUCGGAGCGGUUUUUUCUUAAGCAUUGCUGAUUCAAGUAAGUAGCUUCUAUUUUAGUAAAAAAUAAGUGGGCAGAAAAUAUAAUGAGGUGGCCAUCAUAAUGCUGUGAAGUGUGGGCCUAGUUUGGUGAAACCGGUAUUUAUCUAUGAACAUCUUUGACUGGCAAACUGUUAAAUUGUUGGAGCCUAAUGGUGUUGUGUGUAAGUCUUACAUGAAGAUAAUGCAAAAUGCAAUGGCUGUAAUAAGGACUGUCCAAAAUACUUACAAACAAAUGCACUUACAGAUAUUGUUUUAGUUCUGCUAUAAUGUAGAAAGGCUGCUCUUUCCUUAGCCAUAAAUAUAGGUCUCUCGGUGGCCCUUUUCCUAGUUAUCUGUUAGAAUGGUUAGAUAUGCUAACAUUUCCUUGUUCGACUGCUAGAACUUGUACGCACUCACACUAUAGAUUACGCAUGGAGGAUGAAGCACGAGUUUUUUUGUUGUUGAUUGUUGAGUUUGAAGAUAGCUAACUGGGCAUGCGGUAGAUGGAGCACGAGUUUGAUGUGAGCUAUUUUUAUAUAGAUUAUGAACAAUAACUUGCCAUCUCCAUUUUUAGGGUGCAUGCGGGGUUGGGACUCAAAUAAUUGUCCACCUCUAAUGAAAAAUGACAACUGCGUGACUUAGAAAAUAAUUUCUUUUGAAUUAAUAUUAAAAAAAAUGUAAUGUUAAAAGUGGUAGGGAGGUGUCCUAAUAUGUAGUGAUGUCAAAACCAUAUUACACUACUAUGUAUUUAAGGGGAAUCGUGCUAAACACAUGUCCAGUUCAAUGCGGUGUCGUGGAUCAUUUCUAAUGUUCAUUUUUUUGUGGGUUGUUACCGACUUAGUCAUGGCCUAAUCCCCAUGUCGCCUUAUGUCGGCAACCAUAGCUGUCACAUGAUUAGAUCACAUCUGUUACCUACCUCCUUGUGCAUGAACCACCUCUAUUUCUAUUGUUGGUGCGUCCGGCUACUCCAUCCUGGCGAUCGUGUGCAUGGCCAUACGGGAAAGCAAGCCUCCGGAGUUGCGCCCUUUGGGAUCUUACUCCGGGAGAAGGGCGAUAUGGUUUUUGGGGAGCGUCUCAAUGCGACUGCUCGCUUCCAUCCAUCUACAUCAAAGACUUUGACUACUUCCUCGACAACACCAUGGAUGAUAAUAGUGAUGAUGUGAAAUUUGUGAUGCCACUGCUGUUGUGGCCACGGCCUGGUUUCUCCAAUUAGAGGAGAAAUCUCAUGGAGACGAUUGGCCUACAUGCUACAAAAUCAUUCGAGGGAUUUGUCAGGGCUUGCGGUAUCUCCACAACAAAAAAUUAGUCAUUUAGACUUGAAACCUGAAAAUAUUAUGUUGGAUGUUGACAUGGAGGCCAAAAUUACGGAUUUUGGUCUAUCAAGAUUCCUAGAUCAAGGGCAGUCCAAAAUAUUUACUCAACACAUAUGUGGAACACUGCGAUAUAUUGCACCAGAAGUCAUAGAUAAAAGAGAAUUAUCGUUGAAGUCAGACAUAUAUGCUUUGGGCAUAAUUAUCAUAGAAUUAUUAACUGGUAUCAGCAUGAUAAGUCUCGAGAAUUGGGACGAGUCGUUAGACUUGCUAAACUGCCCAGGAGCGGAGAUGUGUAACCAAAUAGCUCACAAUUGCACGGACACUAACAAAGAUAACAGACCUACCAUACAUGAAGUAAUUCGUGACUUGGACAGCAUCAUUCCAAAGUCUUUCACGAACCAGGUCACCAGCACUGUCUUUCCUGGGACUGAGCUGCUCGAUGUGUACCCCGGGGAGCUUAGGUUCCUCUUCGUGCCAAACGGGGUAGAGAUGUCAUGUCACCUGAGCAUUACCAACAAGACAGAUGGUGAAGUCUACAGUGCAAUUACACCGAAAGAUCUGGAUAUUUAUGAAGAUGGUAAUGAAUAUUGUCUGCUUCCCAUGUCGACAACAGUUGUCACAGUGCGUAUGAAGGCGGUAAAGGAGCUUCCCUUGGACAUGGUUGAGUGGGAGAUAGUGAUGUUUACCACGUGUCGUGAUGCCCAAGCCAUCAGUGAACAUAUGCCUACAUCUUCCGAUGAUGAAGACAUGCCCGUUGAAGAUGUAAUGAAGGAACUCCAAGAGUUAUUUGGGGGCGACCUGCACCGGGCGGUAUUGAAAGCUCUCGUCAUUUUUGUCCAUGACGAUCUGAUGGAGGCGCAUACUACUCUAGGCCGGGAAAACAAAUAUAUUCGAAAUAAUGGGAUGGAUGUGCAUCCCACAUGGCCAUGGAUAGUAGUGGUCACUCAUCACAUGGUUUACAUUUGGAACUGGCAAACCAAUGAAGAAGUAGGACAUUAUAAGUCGCACAUGGGACGUGUACGCUAUUCGGUAGCUAAGUUUAUUGCUCAAGAACAAUGGGUUGUAAUCGGGGAUUCGGAUGGGUCUAUCCUUGUGCAUACAUGUCCCACAAUGGACCUGGUUAAGGAAUUCAAUGCUCACGGUGAUUGUGUCAGUUUAUUGGCAGUUCACCCAACUCGUCCGUUCUUGCUGUCAUGUUGUAAUUCUCCCCUAUCACUCAAGCUUUGGGAUUGGAAUCGCGACUGGUCUUGUACCAGAAUAUUUGAUGUCAGGUCACCUUUGAGGGAAGUCAUGUUUAACCCCAAGCAUAUUAGCACUUUCGCUACUCAUGAAGAUGGUGGUGUGAUCAAGACGUGGAGAAUUGGUCAUCCCAGUCCCGUUGCCAAAAUGCACAAGCUAGAUGGCAAACCCUUGUGGCCUAUCAAUUGCUUCACCUAUAGUGGUGAUCAGCAUUUCAUUGCUACUAUUCUUGGCAAGACCACAUACAUAUUGGAUUUGCAAAAAGAAGAAUGUGUCCACACACUUUAUUCUUCAGAAACUGAAGAUAGAAUUUACACAAACCAUCAUAUUUCAGCAAGUGGGGAGAGUAUUUUUGUUGUCGCUUGCCACCCAACACGUCCAGUAUUAGUUACCGCUUCACAGAAUGGGAGUAUUCGUGUGUUGGAUUCCACUACCUACAGGCUUAAGAAGGCCUAUGAUAAUUUGGGAAAGAAUCCUAUACAUGUCGGGUUUACAGGCUCAAGCAGACUCGUGAUCGGAUACAGAAACGGAACAAUAUCGGUAAUCGAUAUGGAUCUGGAAUAGUUGUCAGAGUUCAAGGACACGUAGACAGUGUUUCCAGCUAGUAAUAUAUCUCUUGGAAUUACCUCUCAUCAAUUCAAGAUCAAAUGUUCAUUUUUCAAAUAAGUGUAUUUGCUGGAACUGGCUAGCCUAAUUACUGUGCAAUAUCUCUGCCCCUGGCCCUGAUGUUUUAUACGACGUACAUUGUAAAGCUCAUUGUAUUACAUUGAUGGCAUUUGUAGAAUCUGAUACGUUUCGUAUUACGACCGAAUGCGAUACUAAACGAACCAAUCUGUGGUUGGAUAGUUAGAAGGACAGUGAUAUCCUCUGCCCAUCAGAGUUCAAGUCGUAGACUCGACAUUGGUGCUCGCAUUUUUUUGAAUUUAUUCUAAGCCUUCCGGCGAUGUGGGUUCAGGAGAAGACGUUCCUGUCGACUACGAAUACGUCUGGGGUAACUUCGUUAAUUUCAAGAUGACGUGCCGGCUCAAUCUCUCAGAGGUGCUCAUAGGGAUAGGGUGUGUGUGCGCGCGCGUUUAUAG
rnacentral:rRNA from 1 species